rnacentral:rRNA from 1 species
GACGAACGCUGGCGGCGUGCUUAACACAUGCAAGUCGAGCGAGAAACCCUCUUCAGAGGGGAGUACAGCGGCGAACGGGUGAGUAACACGUGGGCAACCUGCCCCAAGGAGCGGGACAACCCGGGGAAACCCGGGCUAAUACCGCAUGAUCCGCGGUGCCUCAAGGCACUUCGGUAAAUGGUAGCUUCGGCCUCCGCCUUGGGAUGGGCCCGCGGCGCAUUAGCUAGUUGGUGGGGUAACGGCUCACCAAGGCGACGAUGCGUAGCUGGUCUGAGAGGACGAUCAGCCACACUGGGACUGAGACACGGCCCAGACUCCUACGGGAGGCAGCAGUGGGGAAUCUUGCGCAAUGGGCGGAAGCCUGACGCAGCAACGCCGCGUGAGGGAAGACGGCCUCGGUGUAACUACUUC